rnacentral:rRNA from 1 species
CACGUAGGGUGCGAGCGUUGUCCGGAAUUAUUGGGCGUAAAGAGCUCGUAGGCGGUGUGUCGCGUCGGCCGUGAAAACCUGCAGCUUAACUGUGGGCGUGCGGUCGAUACGGGCAGACUAGAGUUCGGCAGGGGAGACUGGAAUUCCUGGUGUAGCGGUGAAAUGCGCAGAUAUCAGGAGGAACACCGGUGGCGAAGGCGGGUCUCUGGGCCGAUACUGACGCUGAGGAGCGAAAGCGUGGGGAGCGAACAGG